AGAUUUCAAAGGGAAAAACUAUGAGAAGAAGCGAUAGGUUUCAACAAAGAGAAACUAUGCCAUUUCAACAAAAAUGUUUCUGAUGGUUGAAAGAAGUCUUUAUCCCAACCUGACAGCUCGUCCGGAGGCACUCCCUUUUCAGGAGGAUAUUUGUCAAAGUAGCUGUGAUCUAUGGGUCCGCUGAGCUAAUACAGAAAAGAUUAAGAUAAAGUACAGCCUUGAAGCAGAGCUCGAUAGGCAUUUUCAGUGUUGAAUGCGUGGCUUUAUUUCAAGUUCAUGAAUACAUAAGAGCAGAGCUGGCAACUCGGAGAAUUUUUUUCUUUUUUAAAGCUGUACCGCUACUAUUAAGGAAAAUAAAUAGUGUUUCUAUUUGGCA